GGGCUGUAGCUCAGUGGUAAAGCGCUUGCCUCGCACAUGUGAGGCACUGAGUUUGAUCCUCAGCAAUUCA
rnacentral:tRNA from 1 species